rnacentral:tRNA from 1 species
GCCCCCAUCGUCUAGAGGCCUAGGACACCACCCUUUCAAGGUGGAGAUCGCGGGUUCGAAUCCCGCUGGGGGCACC